GACUUCAACCUAAUCUACGAAGCGCGAGAUAAGAACAACAUCAACAUAAACCGUAGGAUCAUGGGCAAAUUUCGGACUGCAAUCGACAUGGUGGGGCUCAAGGAGAUCAAAUGCAAAAACAGAAAGUUCAUGUGGAGCAACGAACACACGUCUCCAACCCUAGUUAGCAUAGACAAGUUCUUCUGCAAUGUGGCUUGGAACUCUUUGUUCCCGUCCUUCCUCCUUCAUGCGGCGUCCACGUCGUGCUCCGACCGUUGCCCCUUGCAGCUGUCGGAAGCUGUUGCGCCUCGCCGUGCAGACCGUUUACGAUUCAAGUCCUUCUUGCGGCGCUUCCCUUGGUUCCACAUCAUGGUCCAGCGUGCAUGGGAUCGCCCGGUCGCCUCCAGCUGCGCUUUCCAGCGUCUCAACAUAAAAUUUGCUAGAGCGGCUAAAAACCUGAAGAUUUUGGCAAAGGGUUUCUUCAGCGAGACAAGGCCCCAGAUGCACAUUGCAAACGAGAUCAUCCUGCGCGUCGACAUCACCCAGGAGAGCAGGCAGUUGCCACAUGGCGAGCUCUAG
rnacentral:rRNA from 1 species